rnacentral:rRNA from 1 species
CCAGACUCCUACGGGAGGCAGCAGUGGGGAAUAUUGCACAAUGGGCGAAAGCCUGAUGCAGCAACGCCGCGUGAAGGAAGAAGGCCUUCGGGUCGUAAACUUCUGUCCUUGGGGAAGAAGAACUGACGGUACCCAAGGAGGAAGCCCCGGCUAACUACGUGCCAGCAGCCGCGGUCAUACGUAGGAUCCGAGCAUUAUCCGGAGUGACUGGGUGUAAAGAGUUGCGUAGGUGGCAUAGUAAGUAGCUAGUGAAAUCUGGUGGCUCAACCAUUCAGACUAUUAGCUAAACUGCUAAGCUCGAGACCGUUAGGGGUAACUGGAAUUUCUAGUGUAGGAGUGAAAUCCGUAGAUAUUAGAAGGAACACCGAUAGCGUAGGCAGGUUACUGGGACGGUUCUGACACUAAGGCACGAAAGCGUAGGGAGCAAACGGGAUUAGAUACCCGAGUAC